CCUCAUUCCACCAUGUUUCUAUGAUGCCUAUUAUAUAAAUAGCCUAAUUUAAUAUGAGGCAUUCUAGUUCACCCAUCUUAUUAUUUAAACUGCUAGCUUUGUUAUAUAAGCACUUUUCAAACUUGUCACUUUUUACCUGUAUGCCAUUACA